rnacentral:rRNA from 2 species
GUGCGAGACCGAUAGCGAACAAGUACCGUGAGGAAAAGAUGAAAAGAACUUUGAAAAGAGAGUUAAAGAGUACCUGAAACUGCUGAAAGGGAAGCGAAUCGUAUCCAGUGUCUAUAAUCUGCGGCAUAUUUCAUUGGCGGCAGUGUGCGUGCUUUUGCGUCGGAAGCGGCUUUUGUUGCUCUGUGCUUUUGCUGUGCGUGCUGUUGCUGGUGCCCUGUGUUGCGGUGGGACGUCAGAGUCAGUUCGUAUGCUGCGGGAAAUGGCCGCCGAGGAGGUAGGUCAGGACUUCGGUCUUGGCUGUUAUAUCUUGGUGGUUUGUUGUCGUGGUUGGGACUGAGGUGCCUACAAUGUGCUUUUGAGUGUGCCGGGUUCUCAUUUGGUGGACUGUUUGGAUAGCUUGCUAUGCUUGUGGUUUUUUCAUCGAGUGAUUGAGUCUGGUGGUAACUUGUUGCUGUUCGGGACUUUGA